rnacentral:RNase_P_RNA from 2 species
UGAGAUGAGUAGACGAUCGCCCGCCCAAAUUUUUGCAUGGCGCAAAAUCGGAGGAAAAAGGAAAAAUUUUCUUGAUCGAAAAAUCAGUGAGAACGCCUUAUGAAAAAAAGUCAAUGAAAUUUUUUCAAUGCAAAAAUUUGGGCGGGAGGAAAGUCCGGACACCCGCCCCUCACUUGGUUCAUAGAAGAUGGUUUUGUACAUUGUUUUAAGAAAGCCAUUUUUCGAUGGUCCAAGUGAGGGGCAAUUGUAGCGGCUAACGGCCGUCGAGGGCGACCUUAGAGGUGCGAGCAGAGACGCUUUCCAACGAAAGACGGAAGGCGCCCUUUUCACGAAGGGCGAGUCCUGAUAGUAAUAUCGGGAGUGAAACGGCUAAAUCCUUACCGGGUGCAAGACAAAUGUAUUUCCUCUUAUAGGGAGAUACGGUAGUCGCAUGAGCAUGUCAGUAAUGGCAUGCCAAGAGAAAUGAUCGUCACCCCCUCACUUGGACCAUCGAACGGAGAAUGUAUUUACACGGUGCAAAUCAUGCGUUCGUUUGUCCAAGUGAGGGGGAACAGAAUCCGGCUUACGCUCAUCUCAUCGC